rnacentral:rRNA from 1 species
GACGAACCGUCCAAACGUUAUUCGGAAUUACUGGGCUUAAAGGGUGCGUAGGCGGCUUCGCAAGUUGGGUGUGAAAUCCCUCGGCUCAACCGAGGAAUGGCGCCCAAAACUGCGGAGCUCGAGGGAGACAGAGGUGAGUGGAACUUGUGGUGGAGCGGUGAAAUGCGUUGAUAUCACAAGGAACACCGGUGGCGAAAGCGGCUCACUGGGUCUCUUCUGACGCUGAGGCACGAAAGCUGGGGGAGCGAACGGGAUUAGAUACCCCUGUAGUCCCUGA